rnacentral:rRNA from 1 species
GACGAACGCUGGCGGCGUGCUUAACACAUGCAAGUCGAACGGAAAGGCCUUGUUCUUGUGGGGUGCUCGAGUGGCGAAAGGGUGUGUAACACGUGAGUAACCUGCCCUUGACUUUGGGAUAACUUCAGGAAACUGGGGCUAAUAUCGGACAGGAGCUCCUGCUGCAUGGUGGGGGUUGGAAAGAUUCGGCGGUUCGGGAUGGACUCGCGGCCUAUCAGCGUGUUGGUGGGGUAGUGGCUUACCAAGGCUUUGACGGGUAGCCGGCCUGAGAGUGUGACCGGCCACAUUGGGACUGAGAUGCGGCCCGGACUCCUACGGGAGGCAGCGGUGGGGGUUAUUGCACGAUGGGCGGAAGCCUGAUGCAGCAACGCCGCGUGCGGGAUGACGGCCUUCGGGUUGUAACCCGCUUUCGCCUGUGACGAAGCGUGAGUGACGGUAAUGGGUAAAGAAGCACCGGCUAACUACGUG